rnacentral:misc_RNA from 1 species
UGUGGGGGCGCAGCGGGACG